GGACCUCGGGGGUCCUGGCUGUCGGUCACAGCUCUUCCUCCGGAGGCGCGGUCCGCUCCGGAGGCUCCCAGUGGAGACGCUGGUUGUGGCAGUGGUGAGAGAGCAAGCAGCUGAUUGAAGAGGCCAAAACGCAGAAACUGAAGCCCCCACAUCUCCAGUCCUCACAUCUCCAGUGCACUCGAACGGCAUGAUAAAAUCUGGAAGGCUGAGCUCAGUAGACGUAAGGUGUCACUCCUCGGGGCCUGGCAGGGGCCGCUCACCAGCCGGACUGCACUAGACCCAGAGCACAGCCACUGGUCCAGCCUUCGGGAAAGAAAAAUGGACCACAGUAGCAACCCUCUAGCAGCAGCUUCCAAAGCCGAAAGAGCCCCCUUCACACCUUCCCGGGUGGCAUUAAUGAUAAAGAACCCACCAGCCAAUGUAGGAGAGCUAAGAGACACAGGUUCAGUCCCUCUGUGGGGAAGAUCCCCUGGAGGAGGGCAUCCGGGGGUGGGGGUGGGGGGUAACCCACUCCAGUAUUCUUGCUUGGAGAAUCCCCAUGGACAGAGGAGUCUGGUAGGCUGCAGUCCAUGGGGUCCCAAAGGGUUGGACACGACCGAAGUGACUUAGCACAGCACAGCA
ensembl:lncRNA